CCUGAGGUCGGGCGCUCGCGGGCCAGGAGCGGGGAGCCGGCGGGCAGCGCCGCGGCUCGUGAGGUGAUGGCGGCGGCCCCGGCCCGGGGAGGCGGAGGCGGCGGCGGCUGCUCCGGCUCCGGCUCCAGCGCCUCGCGGGGUUUCUAUUUCAACACGGUCCUGUCACUGGCCCGCUCCCUGGCGGUGCAGAGACCAGCAUCCUUGGAGAAGGUCCAAAAGCUUCUUUGCAUGUGUCCAGUGGAUUUCCAUGGGAUCUUCCAGUUAGAUGAAAGACGGAGAGAUGCAGUGAUUGCAUUGGGCAUUUUUCUGAUUGAAUCUGAUCUUCAGCACAAAGAUUGUGUGGUUCCUUACCUUCUUCGACUUCUCAAAGGUCUUCCAAAAGUGUAUUGGGUAGAAGAAAGCACAGCUCGGAAAGGCAGAGGUGCCCUCCCGGUUGCAGAGAGCUUCAGCUUCUGCUUGGUAACUCUGCUGUCUGAUGUGGCCUAUAGGGAUCCUUCACUUAGGGAUGAGAUUUUAGAGGUGCUUUUGCAGGUUUUGCAUGUCCUCUUGGGGAUGUGCCAGGCCUUGGAGAUUCAAGACAAAGAAUACCUUUGCAAGUAUGCUAUCCCAUGCCUGAUAGGAAUCUCGCGAGCAUUUGGGCGUUACAGCAACAUGGAAGAGUCUCUCCUCUCAAAGCUCUUUCCCAAAAUCCCUCCUCAUUCCCUCCGUGUCCCGGAAGAGCUUGAAGGUGUUCGAAGGCGUUCCUUUAAUGACUUCCGCUCCAUCCUCCCCAGCAAUCUGCUGACUGUCUGUCAGGAGGGUACCCUGAAGAGGAAAACCAGCAGUGUGUCCAGCAUCUCUCAGGUCAGCCCUGAACGCGGCAUGCCCCCUCCCAGUUCCCCUGGAGGAUCUGCCUUUCACUACUUUGAAGCCUCCUGCUUGCCCGAUGGGACUGCCCUAGAGCCUGAGUACUACUUUUCAACCAUCAGCUCCAGCUUCUCAGUCUCUCCCCUUUUCAACGGUGUCACAUAUAAGGAGUUUAACAUUCCAUUGGAAAUGCUUCGGGAACUCUUAAACCUGGUGAAGAAGAUCGUUGAGGAGGCUGUUCUCAAAUCUUUGGAUGCCAUUGUAGCCAGUGUGAUGGAGGCCAACCCCAGUGCUGAUCUCUACUACACUUCCUUCAGUGACCCCCUCUACCUGACCAUGUUCAAGAUGCUGCGUGACACUCUGUACUACAUGAAGGACCUCCCGACCUCUUUUGUGAAGGAGGUCCAUGAUUUUGUGCUGGAGCAGUUCAACACGAGCCAGGGGGAGCUGCAGAAGAUUCUACAUGACGCAGACCGGAUCCACAAUGAGCUGAGCCCCCUCAAACUGCGCUGUCAGGCGAAUGCUGCCUGUGUGGACCUCAUGGUGUGGGCUGUGAAGGACGAGCAGGGUGCAGAAAACCUUUGCAUCAAGCUAUCUGAGAAGCUGCAGUCCAAGACGUCCAGCAAAGUCAUUAUUGCUCACUUGCCCCUGCUGAUCUGCUGUCUGCAGGGUUUGGGCCGCCUGUGCGAGAGGUUCCCGGUGGUGGUGCACUCUGUGACACCGUCCUUGCGAGACUUCCUGGUCAUCCCGUCCCCAGUUCUGGUGAAGCUCUACAAGUACCACAGUCAGUACCACACAGUUGCUGGCAAUGAUAUAAAAAUCAGUGUGACCAAUGAGCAUUCCGAGUCAACCCUGAACGUCAUGUCGGGUAAGAAGAGCCAGCCCUCCAUGUACGAGCAGCUCCGAGACAUCGCUAUUGACAACAUCUGCAGGUGCCUGAAGGCUGGAUUGACGGUGGACCCAGUGAUUGUGGAGGCGUUCCUGGCCAGCCUGUCCAACCGGCUCUACAUCUCUCAGGAGAGCGACAAGGACGCUCACUUGAUUCCCGACCACACAAUCCGAGCCUUGGGACACAUUGCGGUGGCCUUGAGGGACACCCCAAAGGUCAUGGAGCCCAUUCUGCAGAUCCUGCAGCAGAAAUUCUGCCAGCCACCCUCCCCCCUCGAUGUGCUGAUUAUUGACCAGCUGGGCUGCCUGGUUAUCACCGGAAAUGAUUCCAGAACUUCAUCCUGCAUGGUGACAGUGCAUCUUGCUCUCUCCCAGCAAUACAUCUAUCAGGAAGUGUGGAACCUCUUCCAGCAGAUCAGUGUGAAGGCCAGCUCCGUUGUAUACUCAGCCACCAAAGAUUACAAGGACCACGGCUAUAGGCAUUGCUCUCUGGCAGUGAUUAAUGCCCUGGCCAACAUCGCGGCCAACAUCCAAGACGAACACCUGGUGGAUGAGCUGCUCAUGAACCUGCUGGAGUUGUUUGUGCAGCUGGGGCUGGAGGGGAAGCGAGCCAGCGAGAGGGCAAGCGAGAAGGGCCCUGCCCUGAAGGCUUCUAGCAGUGCAGGGAACUUGGGAGUACUCAUUCCUGUAAUAGCUGUGCUCACCCGACGACUGCCACCCAUCAAAGAAGCUAAGCCUCGGUUACAGAAGCUCUUCCGAGACUUCUGGCUGUAUUCCGUUCUGAUGGGAUUCGCUGUGGAGGGCUCAGGACUCUGGCCAGAGGAAUGGUACGAGGGGGUCUGUGAAAUAGCCACUAAGUCCCCCUUGCUCACCUUUCCCAGCAAGGAGCCACUGCGGUCCGUCCUCCAAUAUAACUCAGCCAUGAAGAAUGACACGGUCACCCCCGCUGAGCUGAGUGAGCUCCGCAGCACUAUCAUCAACCUGCUGGACCCGCCUCCCGAGGUGUCCGCACUCAUCAACAAGCUGGACUUCGCCAUGUCCACCUACCUCCUCUCUGUGUACCGGCUGGAGUACAUGAGGGUACUGCGUUCAACAGAUCCUGAUCGCUUCCAGGUAAUGUUCUGCUACUUUGAGGAUAAAGCUAUUCAGAAAGACAAAUCUGGGAUGAUGCAGUGUGUGAUUGCAGUCGCGGACAAAGUAUUCGAUGCCUUCCUGAACAUGAUGGCGGAUAAAGCCAAGACCAAGGAGAACGAGGAGGAGCUGGAGCGGCACGCUCAGUUCCUGUUGGUGAACUUCAACCACAUCCACAAGAGGAUAAGGAGGGUGGCAGACAAGUAUCUGUCUGGUCUGGUGGAUAAGUUUCCCCACUUGCUCUGGAGCGGGACUGUGCUGAAGACCAUGCUGGACAUCCUGCAGACCCUGUCUCUGUCACUGAGCGCUGAUAUUCACAAGGAUCAGCCUUACUAUGACAUCCCCGACGCCCCCUACCGGAUCACGGUUCCUGACACGUACGAAGCCCGUGAGAGCAUUGUGAAGGACUUCGCUGCACGCUGUGGGAUGAUCCUGCAGGAGGCCAUGAAGUGGGCGCCUACCGUCACCAAGUCCCACCUGCAGGAAUAUCUGAACAAACAUCAGAACUGGGUAUCGGGACUGUCCCAGCACACGGGGCUGGCCAUGGCCACUGAGAGCAUCCUUCACUUUGCUGGCUACAACAAGCAGAACACAACUCUCGGGGCAACUCAGCUGACCGAGCGCCCGGCCUGUGUGAAGAAGGACUACUCCAACUUCAUGGCAUCCCUGAAUUUGCGCAACCGCUACGCAGGCGAGGUGUAUGGAAUGAUUCGGUUCUCAGGCACCACAGGCCAGAUGUCUGACCUGAACAAAAUGAUGGUCCAGGAUCUACAUUCAGCUUUAGACCGCAGUCAUCCUCAGCACUACACGCAGGCGAUGUUCAAGCUGACCGCAAUGCUCAUUAGCAGUAAAGAUUGUGACCCGCAGCUCCUUCAUCAUCUGUGCUGGGGUCCCCUCCGGAUGUUCAAUGAGCAUGGCAUGGAGACGGCCCUGGCCUGCUGGGAGUGGCUGCUGGCUGGCAAGGAUGGAGUGGAAGUGCCGUUCAUGCGGGAGAUGGCAGGGGCCUGGCACAUGACGGUGGAGCAGAAAUUUGGCCUGUUUUCUGCUGAGAUAAAGGAAGCAGACCCCCUGGCUGCCUCGGAAGCAAGUCAACCCAAACCCUGUCCCCCCGAAGUGACCCCCCACUACAUCUGGAUCGACUUCCUGGUGCAGCGGUUUGAGAUCGCCAAGUACUGCAGCUCUGACCAAGUGGAGAUCUUCUCCAGCCUGCUGCAGCGCUCCAUGUCCCUGAACAUCGGCGGGGCCAAGGGGAGCAUGAACCGGCACGUGGCGGCCAUCGGGCCCCGCUUCAAGCUGCUGACCCUGGGGCUGUCCCUCCUGCAUGCCGACGUGGUUCCAAAUGCAACCAUCCGCAAUGUGCUUCGCGAGAAGAUCUACUCCACUGCCUUUGACUACUUCAGCUGUCCCCCAAAGUUCCCUACUCAAGGAGAGAAGCGGCUGCGUGAAGACAUAAGCAUCAUGAUUAAAUUUUGGACCGCCAUGUUCUCAGAUAAGAAGUACCUGACCGCCAGCCAGCUUGUUCCCCCAGAUAAUCAGGACACCCGGAGCAACCUGGACAUAACUGUCGGCUCUCGGCAACAAGCCACCCAAGGCUGGAUCAACACAUACCCCCUGUCCAGCGGCAUGUCCACCAUCUCCAAGAAAUCAGGCAUGUCUAAGAAAACCAACCGGGGCUCCCAGCUGCACAAAUACUACAUGAAGCGCAGGACGCUGCUGCUGUCCCUGCUGGCCACUGAGAUCGAGCGUCUCAUCACAUGGUACAACCCGCUGUCAGCCCCGGAACUGGAACUAGACCAGGCCGGAGAGAACAGCGUGGCCAACUGGAGAUCUAAGUACAUCAGCCUGAGUGAGAAGCAGUGGAAGGACAACGUGAACCUCGCCUGGAGCAUCUCUCCCUACCUGGCCGUGCAGCUGCCUGCCAGGUUUAAGAACACAGAAGCCAUUGGGAACGAAGUGACCCGUCUCGUUCGGUUGGACCCGGGAGCUGUUAGUGAUGUGCCUGAAGCAAUCAAGUUCCUGGUCACCUGGCACACCAUCGACGCCGAUGCUCCAGAGCUCAGCCAUGUGCUGUGCUGGGCGCCCACGGACCCACCCACAGGCCUCUCCUACUUCUCCAGCAUGUACCCGCCGCACCCUCUCACGGCGCAGUACGGGGUGAAAGUCCUGCGGUCCUUCCCUCCGGACGCCAUCCUCUUCUACAUCCCCCAGAUUGUGCAGGCCCUCAGGUACGACAAGAUGGGCUAUGUGCGGGAGUAUAUUCUGUGGGCAGCGUCUAAAUCCCAGCUUCUGGCACACCAGUUCAUCUGGAACAUGAAGACUAACAUUUAUCUAGAUGAAGAGGGCCACCAGAAAGACCCUGACAUCGGCGACCUCCUGGAGCAGUUGGUAGAGGAGAUCACAAGCUCCUUGUCCGGCCCAGCGAAGGACUUUUACCAGCGGGAGUUUGAUUUCUUUAACAAGAUCACCAACGUGUCGGCUAUCAUCAAGCCCUACCCUAAAGGCGACGAGAGAAAGAAGGCUUGUCUGUCGGCCCUGUCUGAAGUGAAGGUGCAGCCGGGCUGCUACCUGCCCAGCAACCCCGAGGCCAUUGUGCUGGACAUCGACUACAAGUCUGGGACCCCGAUGCAGAGUGCUGCAAAAGCCCCAUAUCUGGCCAAGUUCAAGGUGAAGCGAUGUGGAGUUAGUGAACUUGAAAAAGAAGGUCUGCGGUGCCGCUCAGACUCCGAGGAUGAGUGCAGCACGCAGGAGGCCAACGGCCAGAAGAUCUCCUGGCAGGCAGCCAUCUUCAAAGUGGGAGACGACUGCCGGCAGGACAUGCUGGCCCUGCAGAUCAUCGACCUCUUCAAGAACAUCUUCCAGCUGGUCGGCCUGGACCUCUUUGUUUUUCCCUACCGCGUGGUGGCCACUGCCCCUGGGUGUGGGGUGAUCGAGUGCAUCCCCGACUGCACCUCCCGGGACCAGCUGGGCCGCCAGACAGACUUCGGCAUGUACGACUACUUCACACGCCAGUACGGGGAUGAGUCCACCCUGGCCUUCCAGCAGGCCCGCUACAACUUCAUCCGAAGCAUGGCCGCCUACAGCCUCCUGCUGUUCCUGCUGCAGAUCAAGGACAGACACAACGGCAACAUUAUGCUGGACAAGAAGGGCCAUAUCAUCCACAUCGACUUUGGCUUCAUGUUUGAAAGCUCGCCGGGCGGCAAUCUCGGCUGGGAACCCGACAUCAAGCUGACGGAUGAGAUGGUGAUGAUCAUGGGGGGCAAGAUGGAGGCCACACCCUUCAAGUGGUUCAUGGAGAUGUGUGUCCGAGGCUACCUGGCUGUGCGGCCCUACAUGGACGCGGUCGUCUCCCUGGUCACUCUCAUGUUGGACACGGGCCUGCCCUGUUUUCGCGGCCAGACAAUCAAGCUCUUGAAGUACAUUUCCAGGGCGUGGCUCUCAGCUGAAGUCCGUCCCCAUGGAAGACCCUCCUCCCACUGGGCCAGGGAGCCAGCACGGCCCUGCCCAUGGCAGCCCUGACACAGCCUCUCCUCCAGGCACAGGUUUAGCCCCAACAUGACUGAGCGCGAGGCUGCAAAUUUCAUCAUGAAGGUCAUCCAGAGCUGCUUCCUCAGCAACAGGAGCCGGACCUACGACAUGAUCCAGUACUAUCAGAAUGACAUCCCCUACUGAGGAGGGGACCUUUGAGGGCCUCUGCCCCAUGUGCCCUCGAAGCUGUCCCACAAUCAUGGAGCCCUGCGACCUCCCCGCCCUGCCGCCACAUGCAGUGGAGGAGAGGCCUGUGGCCCAAAGAACCUGGUAGCGCCUCCUGGGGCAGCACGUGGGUGGCGCAGCCUUGGUAACGCCAUGGACUGCAGCGACAAUCAGUGGAUGGUGCUGUCUAUGCACAGGUGUGAGUCCUCUGUUUGCACUGGACAUAUUCCCUACCUGUUUUAUUUCAUAGGUACAUGAAGUAUUGUGUAUAAAAAAAGAGAUAAGAUUUAACCAACAUCAACAAAAUAAAAACCCAAAAUAGUGCUGUGUUGGAA